rnacentral:rRNA from 1 species
AGUGAACGCUGGCGGUAGGCCUAACACAUGCAAGUCGAACGGCAGCACAGUAAGAGCUUGCUCUUACGGGUGGCGAGUGGCGGACGGGUGAGGAAUACAUCGGAAUCUACUUUUUCGUGGGGGAUAACGUAGGGAAACUUAUGCUAAUACCGCAUACGACCUACGGGUGAAAGCAAGGGAUCUUCGGACCUUGCGCGAUUCAAUGAGCCGAUGUCGGAUUAGCUAGUUGGCGGGGUAAAGGCCCACCAAGGCGACGAUCCGUAGCUGGUCUGAGAGGAUGAUCAGCCACACUGGAACUGAGACACGGUCCAGACUCCUACGGGAGGCAGCAGUGGGGAAUAUUGGACAAAGGGCGCAAGCCUGAUCCAGCCAUACCGCGUGGGUGAAGAAGGCCUUCGGGUUGUAAAGCCCUUUUGUUGGGAAAGAAAAGCGGCAGGUUAAUACCCCGCUGUUCUGACGGUACCCAAAGAAUAAGCACCGGCUAACUUCGUG